rnacentral:rRNA from 1 species
AACGAACGCUGGCGGCAUGCCUAACACAUGCAAGUCGAACGAGACCUUCGGGUCUAGUGGCGCACGGGUGCGUAACGCGUGGGAACCUGCCCUUAGGUUCGGAAUAACUCCCCGAAAGGGGUGCUAAUACCGGAUAAUGUCUUCGGACCAAAGAUUUAUCGCCUUUGGAUGGGCCCGCGUUGGAUUAGCUAGUUGGUAGGGUAAAAGCCUACCAAGGCGACGAUCCAUAGCUGGUCUGAGAGGAGGAUCAGCCACACUGGGACUGAGACACGGCCCAGACUCCUACGGGAGGGAGCAGUGGGGAAUAUUGGACAAUGGGCGAAAGCCUGAUCCAGCCAUGCCGCGUGAGUGAUGAAGGCCUUAGGGUUGUAAAGCUCUUUUACCCGGGAUGAUAAUGACAGUACCGGGAGAAUAAGCUCCGGCUAACUCCGUG